rnacentral:rRNA from 1 species
UACGUAGGGGGCAAGCGUUGUCCGGAUUCAUUGGGCGUAAAGAGCGUGUAGGCGGCCAGGUAGGUCGGUUGUGAAAACUGGAGGCUCAACCUUCAGAGGUCGACCGAAACCACCUGGCUAGAGUCCGGGAGAGGAGAGUGGAAUUCCUGGUGUAGCGGUGAAAUGCGCAGAUAUCGAGAGGAACACCUGCGGCGAAGGCGGGUUGCUGGGCUGAUACUGACGCUGAUGCGCGAAAGCCAGGGGAGCGAACGGG